rnacentral:rRNA from 1 species
GGGUGAGUAACACGUGGAUAACCUACCUAUAAGACUGGGAUAACUUCGGGAAACCGGAGCUAAUACCGGAUAAUAUAUUGAACCGCAUGGUUCAAUAGUGAGAGACGGUUUUGCUGUCACUUAUAGAUGGAUCCGCGCCGCAUUAGCUAGUUGGUAAGGUAACGGCUUACCAAGGCAACGAUGCGUAGCCGACCUGAGAGGGUGAUCGGCCACACUGGAACUGAGACACGGUCCAG